AAGACUCUAGUAAAAUAGAAAUUACACUACUUUGUCAAGGUAGAAUUGUGGGUUAAACCCCCACGUGUCUUA
rnacentral:tRNA from 1 species